CUGUGUGUUGUUGGGUAGGGGAGCGUUCUGUAAGCCUGUGAAGGUGUGUCGUGAGGCAUGCUGGAGGUAUCAGAAGUGCGAAUGCUGACAUAAGUAACGAUAAAGCGGGUGAAAAGCCCGCUCGCCGGAAGACCAAGGGUUCCUGUCCAACGUUAAUCGGGGCAGGGUGAGUCGACCCCUAAGGCGAGGCCGAAAGGCGUAGUCGAUGGGAAACGGGUUAAUAUUCCCGUACUUGGUGUUACUGCGAAGGGGGGACGGAGAAGGCUAUGUUGGCCGGGCGACGGUUGUCCCGGUUUAAGCGUGUAGGCUGGUUUUCCAGGCAAAUCCGGAAAAUCAAGGCUGAGGCGUGAUGACGAGGCACUACGGUGCUGAAGCAACAAAUGCCCUGCUUCCAGGAAAAGCCUCUAAGCAUCAGGUAACAUCAAAUCGUACCCCAAACCGACACAGGUGGUCAGGUAGAGAAUACCAAGGCGCUUGAGAGAACUCGGGUGAAGGAACUAGGCAAAAUGGUGCCGUAACUUCGGGAGAAGGCACGCUGACACGUAGGUGAAGUGAUUUACUCAUGGAGCUGAAGUCAGUCGAAGAUACCAGCUGGCUGCAACUGUUUAUUAAAAACACAGCACUGUGCAAACACGAAAGUGGACGUAUACGGUGUGACGCCUGCCCGGUGCCGGAAGGUUAAUUGAUGGGGUCAGCGCAAGCGAAGCUCCUGAUCGAAGCCCCGGUAAACGGCGGCCGUAACUAUAACGGUCCUAAGGUAGCGAAAUUCCUUGUCGGGUAAGUUCCGACCUGCACGAAUGGCGUAAUGAUGGCCAGGCUGUCUCCACCCGAGACUCAGUGAAAUUGAACUCGCUGUGAAGAUGCAGUGUACCCGCGGCAAGACGGAAAGACCCCGUGAACCUUUACUAUAGCUUGACACUGAACAUUGAGCCUUGAUGUGUAGGAUAGGUGGGAGGCUUUGAAGUGUGGACGCCAGUCUGCAUGGAGCCGACCUUGAAAUACCACCCUUUAAUGUUUGAUGUUCUAACGUGGACCCGUUACCCGGGUUGCGGACAGUGUCUGGUGGGUAGUUUGACUGGGGCGGUCUCCUCCUAAAGAGUAACGGAGGAGCACGAAGGUUGGCUAAUCCUGGUCGGACAUCAGGAGGUUAGUGCAAUGGCAUAAGCCAGCUUGACUGCGAGCGUGACGGCGCGAGCAGGUGCGAAAGCAGGUCAUAGUGAUCCGGUGGUUCUGAAUGGAAGGGCCAUCGCUCAACGGAUAAAAGGUACUCCGGGGAUAACAGGCUGAUACCGCCCAAGAGUUCAUAUCGACGGCGGUGUUUGGCACCUCGAUGUCGGCUCAUCACAUCCUGGGGCUGAAGUAGGUCCCAAGGGUAUGGCUGUUCGCCAUUUAAAGUGGUACGCGAGCUGGGUUUAGAACGUCGUGAGACAGUUCGGUCCCUAUCUGCCGUGGGCGCUGGAGAACUGAGGGGGGCUGCUCCUAGUACGAGAGGACCGGAGUGGACGCAUCACUGGUGUUCGGGUUGUCAUGCCAAUGGCACUGCCCGGUAGCUAAAUGCGGAAGAGAUAAGUGCUGAAAGCAUCUAAGCACGAAACUUGCCCCGAGAUGAGUUCUCCCUGAGACUUAGAGUCUCCUGAAGGAACGUUGAAGACGACGACGUUGAUAGGCCGGGUGUGUAAGCGCAGCGAUGCGUUGAGCUAACCGGUACUAAUGAACCGUGAGGCUUAACCUUACAACGCCG
rnacentral:rRNA from 2 species